AUUGGAUUGUAGAUCAUGAGAAACACUAUUCCACAACAUACUAGAGGCGUUUCAGUCUCAAAAAUAUCCAAAAUCAAACAAAAAAAUUAAUUUAAUAUAAGAGCCUAUAAAUUUUAAUUAAUUUUAUUCAUAAAGAGUUCUUAGUAACUGGUCCAGGUGUAAUCUGUCGAAAAGCAGACUAUAAUGGGCAUUUUCCAUGGAAGACUAUUUUUUUCCCAAAAAAGACUUUUUUUUUUCAGAAACACAGCUAUGGUCGGCCAUGCCAAUUUUUACCUAGUUCCUAGCCCCGCGCCCCGUAAACCGAACAGCGCCAUAGAUGACAUCACUUCACUGCUAAUAUGAUCUUCACACUCCAGGACGGAACACAAUACACCACAUUAAUUAAAAAUUUUCAAUAAUAAUUUAAUAUUUUUGGAAAUGUAAUUAUCUAGGGAAUGUACACUCAUUAAUUACUUCAAAAUAUUAACACCUAUUCCUAAAUUGAUUUUAAAUCGAUGUAUUGUUAUGUUCAAUUAUAAAAUGUAUAGGAAAGUUA